rnacentral:rRNA from 1 species
ACAUGCAAGUAGAACGCUGAAGAGAGGAGCUUGCUCUUCUUGGAUGAGUUGCGAACGGGUGAGUAACGCGUAGGUAACCUGCCUGGUAGCGGGGGAUAACUAUUGGAAACGAUAGCUAAUACCGCAUAACAACAGUUGUUGCAUGACAGCUGUUUAAAAGAUGCAAUUGCAUCACUACCAGAUGGACCUGCGUUGUAUUAGCUAGUUGGUGAGGUAACGGCUCACCAAGGCGACGAUACAUAGCCGACCUGAGAGGGUGAUCGGCCACACUGGGACUGAGACACGGCCCAGACUCCUACGG